GAGUUUGAUUCUGGCUCAGGAUGAACGCUAGCGAUAGGCUUAACACAUGCAAGUCGAGGGGCAGCAUGAACUUAGCUUGCUAAGUUUGAUGGCGACCGGCGCACGGGUGCGUAACGCGUAUGCAACUUGCCUUACAGAGGGGGAUAACCCGUUGAAAGGCGGACUAAUACCGCAUACACUUGCUUGGUUGCAUGAUCGGGCAAGGAAAUAUUUAUAGCUGUAAGAUAGGCAUGCGUCCCAUUAGCUGGUUGGUGAGGUAACGGCUCACCAAGGCAACGAUGGGUAGGGGAACUGAGAGGUUUAUCCCCCACACUGGUACUGAGACACGGACCAGACUCCUACGGGAGGCAGCAGUGAGGAAUAUUGGUCAAUGGGCGAGAGCCUGAACCAGCCAAGUCGCGUGAAGGAAGACUGUCCUAAGGAUUGUAAACUUCUUUUAUACGGGAAUAACGGGCGAUAUCGUGUAUUGCAGUGAAUGUACC
rnacentral:rRNA from 1 species